GUGCUCGCUUCGGCAGCACAUAUACUAAAAUUAGAAAGAUAAAGAGAAGAUUAUCAUGGCCCCUGCCCAAGGAUGACACACAAAUUUGUGAAGCAGUCCAUAUUUUU